rnacentral:lncRNA from 1 species
UAGAUAUUCAUUUAGGAGCCUGGGGGGAUGCUAGAGGCCUCUGCAAUGUGGAAGACCCUUGAGGAAGAUUUGACAGGUGAAUGACCAUUAAAGCUGAGUCAUAAAGAAUGAAGAAGCAAUCUUCAAGUAGAAAUUGGUGAAAGAAGAUUCCAGGAAGAGACAUCAGCAUGGGGAAAGUUAAGGAGAUGCGAAAGUUGAUGCACAUUUAGGGAAUAGCCAAUAAUCCACUAUACUUAGAGCACAGAGACUUAGAGUUGGGGUGUAAGACGGGCGGCACAGGGAAUAGAAGGAGAAAGCAGGGUAGGGACCCACACAGGGAUGGACCUAGCAUGCCUUAUAGAGUUGUGACCCCAGGUUUCACCCGAACAGGGAUUCAGGCUUACAUGAUAUACUGGUGAGUAAGGUCAGGAGAACUCUGUUUGUAUCAGGAUGGCUUCAGAUAAUGAAGAAGACAGCCUGAUGUCUGUCCCAGAUAUCGGUUCCCUGCUCUCAGACUGACCUGCCUUGAGAAUAUGUCCUGUAGGCAGAAGCUGAGGAGCUGGUUUUAAAAGGACUACUCGGGAG